GGAGUUAGCCGGUGCUUCUUCUGCGAGUAACGUCACAGAUGUAAGGUAUUAACUUACACCCUUUCCUCCUCGCUGAAAGUGCUUUACAACCCGAAGGCCUUCUUCACACACGCGGCAUGGCUGCAUCAGGGUUUCCCCCAUUGUGCAAUAUUCCCCACUGCUGCCUCCCGUAGGAGUCUGGGCCGUGUCUCAGUCCCAGUGUGGCUGAUCAUCCUCUCAGACCAGCUAGGGAUCGUCGCCUAGGUGAGCCUUUACCUCACCUACUAGCUAAUCCCACCUGGGCUUAUCCAUCAGCGCAAGGCCCGAAGGUCCCCUGCUUUCCCCCGUAGGCGUAUGCGGUAUUAGCAGUCGUUUCCAACUGUUAUCCCCACAAAUGGGCAAAUUCCCAGGCAUUACUCACCCGUCCGCCGCUCGUCAUCUUCAAAAGCAAGCUUUUGAAAUGUUACCGCUCGACUUGCAUGUGUUAGGCCUGCCGCCAGCGUUCAAUCUGAGCCAGAAUCAAAACUCUGA
rnacentral:rRNA from 1 species